rnacentral:rRNA from 1 species
AUUGAACGCUGGCGGCAGGCCUAACACAUGCAAGUCGAGCGGCAGCGGGAAAGUAGCUUGCUACUUUUGCCGGCGAGCGGCGGACGGGUGAGUAAUGCCUGGGGAUCUGCCCAGUCGAGGGGGAUAACUACUGGAAACGGUAGCUAAUACCUCAUACGCUCUACGGGGGAAAGCAGGGGCCCUUCGGGCCUUGCGCGAUUGGAUGAACCCAGGUGGGAUUAGCUAGUUGGUGAGGUAACGGCUCACCAAGGCGACGAUCCCUAGCUGGUCUGAGAGGAUGAUCAGCCACACUGGAACUGAGACACGGUCCAGACUCCUACGGGAGGCAGCAGUGGGGAAUAUUGCACAAUGGGGGAAACCCUGAUGCAGCCAUGCCGCGUGUGUGAAGAAGGCCUUCGGGUUGUAAAGCACUUUCAGCGAGGAGGAAAGGUCAGUAGCUAAUAUCUGCUGGCUGUGACGUUACUCGCAGAAGAAGCACCGGCUAACUCCGUGCCAGCCGCCGCGGUAA